rnacentral:lncRNA from 1 species
UUGGAUUCUUAUAGUUAAGAAGGGUCGCCUCUGAAAUUACAAAUUUGCCUCUAAAUAAAAUCUUCAGAGAUCCGUGCAUGGCCGCGGACGGACCGGACACAUUGACUCUCUUUUUGCCUAACGAGCCCGACCUGUGCGCUGCCGCGGAUGGCCCCCGCACCUGGAGUUUAGUUCUGUCAUUCAUUUGUUCCUUCUUCUGCUCACCUCAGAUUAGCCUUCCUUGCUCCAUAUAUACUUCAAAACACUCUUUAAUGUCCUCAUAGCCCGGAAUUGCUCCGACAAAGCACAAAGUUCUUAAUUAGAGCCAUUUGUUAUCAUUUAACACUCGUAUAUUAAUAAAGUAUAGCCAAGUUGGAGCGUAAAUGGUAGCUAAAUCACAUAAUAAUAACCUACUAUCAGAUAUUAUCC